rnacentral:rRNA from 1 species
AUGAACGCUAGCUACAGGCUUAACACAUGCAAGUCGAGGGGCAGCAUGGUCUUAGCUUGCUAAGGCCGAUGGCGACCGGCGCACGGGUGAGUAACACGUAUCCAACCUGCCGUCUACUCUUGGACAGCCUUCUGAAAGGAAGAUUAAUACAAGAUGGCAUCAUGAGUCCGCAUGUUCACAUGAUUAAAGGUAUUCCGGUAGACGAUGGGGAUGCGUUCCAUUAGAUAGUAGGCGGGGUAACGGCCCACCUAGUCUUCGAUGGAUAGGGGUUCUGAGAGGAAGGUCCCCCACAUUGGAACUGAGACACGGUCCAAACUCCUACGGGAGGCAGCAGUGAGGAAUAUUGGUCAAUGGGCGAGAGCCUGAACCAGCCAAGUAGCGUGAAGGAUGACUGCCCUAUGGGUUGUAAACUUCUUUUAUAAAGGAAUAAAGUCGGGUAUGGAUACCCGUUUGCAUGUACUUUAUGAAUAAGGAUCGGCUAACUCCGUGCCAGCAGCCGCGGUAAUACGGAGGAUCCGAGCGUUAUCCGGAUUUAUUGGGUUUAAAGGGAGCGUAGAUGGAUGUUUAAGUCAGUUGUGAAAGUUUGCGGCUCAACCGUAAAAUUGCAGUUGAUACUGGAUAUCUUGAGUGCAGUUGAGGCAGGCGGAAUUCGUGGUGUAGCGGUGAAAUGCUUAGAUAUCACGAAGAACUCCGAUUGCGAAGGCAGCCUGCUAAGCUGCAACUGACAUUGAGGCUCGAAAGUGUGGGUAUCAAACAGGAUUAGAUACCCUGGUAGUCCACACCGUAAACGAUGGAUACUAGGUGUAGGGGAUAUUAAGUCUUCUGUGCCGUCGCAAACGCAGUAAGUAUCCCACCUGGGGAGUACGGCCGCAAGGUUGAAACUCAAAGGAAUUGACGGGGGCCCGCACAAGCGGAGGAACAUGUGGUUUAAUUCGAUGAUACGCGAGGAACCUUACCCGGGCUUAAAUUGCAGAUGAAUUACGGUGAAAGCCGUAAGCCGCAAGGCAUCUGUGAAGGUGCUGCAUGGUUGUCGUCAGCUCGUGCCGUGAGGUGUCGGCUUAAGUGCCAUAACGAGCGCAACCCUUGUUGUCAGUUACUAACAGGUUCCGCUGAGGACUCUGACAAGACUGCCAUCGUAAGAUGUGAGGAAGGUGGGGAUGACGUCAAAUCAGCACGGCCCUUACGUCCGGGGCUACACACGUGUUACAAUGGGGGGUACAGAGGGCCGCUACCACGCGAGUGGAUGCCAAUCCCCAAAACCUCUCUCAGUUCGGACUGGAGUCUGCAACCCGACUCCACGAAGCUGGAUUCGCUAGUAAUCGCGCAUCAGCCACGGCGCGGUGAAUACGUUCCCGGGCCUUGUACACACCGCCCGUCAAGCCAUGGGAGCCGGGGGUACCUGAAGUGCGUAACCGCGAGGAGCGCCCUAGGGUAAAACUGGUGACUGGGGCU